rnacentral:rRNA from 1 species
GAUGAACGCUGGCGGCGUGCCUAACACAUGCAAGUCGAACGGAGUUUUGUGAGGGAAGUCUACGGAUGGACGUUAUAAAACUUAGUGGCGGACGGGUGAGUAACGCGUGGGCAACCUGCCGUAUACAGGGGGAUAACAACUGGAAACAGUUGCUAACACCGCAUAAGCGCACGGUACCGCAUGGUACCGAGUGAAAAUCUCCGGAGGUAUACGAUGGGCCCGCGUCUGAUUAGCCAGUUGGUGGGGUAACGGCCUACCAAAGCGACGAUCAGUAGCCGGCCUGAGAGGGUGGACGGCCACAUUGGGACUGAGACACGGCCCAAACUCCUACGGGAGGCAGCAGUGGGGGAUAUUGCACAAUGGGGGAAACCCUGAUGCAGCGACGCCGCGUGAGUGAAGAAGCAAUUCGUUGCGUAAAGCUCUAUCAGCAGGGAAGAAGAAAUGACGGUACCUGAAUAAGAAGCCCCGGCUAACUACGUGCCAGCAGCCGCGGUAAUACGUAGGGGGCAAGCGUUAUCCGGAUUUACUGGGUGUAAAGGGAGCGUAGACGGCAGUGCAAGUCCGAUGUGAAAACCCGGGGCUCAACCCUGGGAGUGCAUUGGAAACUGUACGGCUGGAGUGCAGGAGAGGUAAGCGGAAUUCCUGGUGUAGCGGUGAAAUGCGUAGAUAUCAGGAGGAACACCAGUGGCGAAGGCGGCUUACUGGACUGUAACUGACGUUGAGGCUCGAAAGCGUGGGGAGCAAACAGGAUUAGAUACCCUGGUAGUCCACGCUGUAAACGAUGAAUACUAGGUGUCGGGGGUUUACGGACGUCCGGNNNUNNNNNNNNNNGNNGCNGANANCGGCCGCGCAAGCGUAGUAUCCACUGGGAUACGUGCAGAAGAAUCAAAGAAUGAGGGACGCACAGCGCCGCCGGGGGAGUGUGUUUUUUUUAGCCACGCGGAGAACCCUAGCCUACAGCUGCAUCCCCCUGGAUAACGGGUAAUGCCGUUAGCCUUUCGGGGCAGGGGGGACAGGUGGUGCAUGGUUGUCGUCAGCUCGUGUCGUGANANNNANUUUNNNUAGAGUUGGGUAGUCCCCACGGGCACCCCUUUUCGUGCCAGCACGAAGAGGGGGCAUUUAAGGGACAGCCGGGCACCCCGGGGAAGGCGGGGAUGACGUCAAAUCAUCAUGCCCCUUAUGGUCUGGGCUACACACGUGCUACAAUGGCGCAUACAAAGUGAGGCAAGCCGGCGACGGCAAGCAAAACACAGAAAGCGCGUUCUCAGUUCGGAUUGCAGCCUGCAACUCGGCUGCAUGAAGCCGGAAUCGCUAGUAAUCGCGGAUCAGAAUGCCGCGGU